rnacentral:rRNA from 1 species
UACGUAGGUGGCAAGCGUUGUUCGGAUUUAUUGGGCGUAAAGAGCGUGUAGGCGGCCAGGUAGGUCCGUUGUGAAAACUCGAGGCUCAACCUCGAGACGCCGAUGGAAACCAUCUGGCUAGAGUCCGGAAGAGGAGAGUGGAAUUCCCGGUGUAGCGGGUGAAAAUGCGCAGAUAUCGGGGAGGAACACCAGUGGCGAAGGCGACUUCCUGGCCUGUUCUUGACGCUAGGCGCGAAAAGCUAGGGGGAGCAAACAGGG